GGACCCGUAGUGUAGGGGUAAGCGUGGUUGCCUCUUACACAGUCGGCCUGGGUUCGAUCCCAGAAGGUCCC
rnacentral:tRNA from 1 species